rnacentral:rRNA from 1 species
ACGGGUGAGUAAUACAUCGGAACGUAUCCUGGAGUGGGGGAUAGCCCGGCGAAAGCCGGAUUAAUACCGCAUACGCUCUGAGGAGGAAAGCGGGGGACCUUCGGGCCUCGCGCUCAAGGGGCGGCCGAUGGCGGAUUAGGUAGUUGGUGGGGUAAAGGCCUACCAAGCCGACGAUCCGUAGCUGGUCUGAGAGGACGACCAGCCACACUGGGACUGAGACACGGCCCAGACUCCUACGGGAGGCAGCAGUGGGGAAUUUUGGACAAUGGGGGCAACCCUGAUCCAGCAAUGCCGCGUGUGUGAAGAAGGCCUUCGGGUUGUAAAGCACUUUUGUCCGGAAAGAAAUCAUCGGGGCCAAUACCCCUGGUGGAUGACGGUACCGGAAGAAUAAGCACCGGCUAACUACGUGCCAGCAGCCGCGGUAAUACGUAGGGUGCGAGCGUUAAUCGGAAUUACUGGGCGUAAAGCGUGCGCAGGCGGUGCUGUAAGGCCGAUGUGAAAUCCCCGGGCUUAACCUGGGAACUGCAUUGGUGACUGCAGCGCUGGAGUAUGGCAGAGGGGGGUGGAAUUCCACGU